UGGGGAAUAUUGCACAAUGGGCGCAAGCCUGAUGCAGCCAUGCCGCGUGUAUGAAGAAGGCCUUCGGGUUGUAAAGUACUUUCAGCGAGGAGGAAGGUGUUGAGGUUAAUAACCUCAGCAAUUGACGUUACUCGCAGAAGAAGCACCGGCUAACUCCGUGCCAGCAGCCGCGGUAAUACGGAGGGUGCAAGCGUUAAUCGGCAUUACUGGGCGUAAAGCGCACGCAGGCGGUCUGUCAAGUCGGAUGUGAAAUCCCCGGGCUCAACCUGGGAACUGCAUUCGAAACUGGCAGGCUAGAGUCUUGUAGAGGGGGGUAGAAUUCCAGGUGUAGCGGUGAAAUGCGUAGAGAUCUGGAGGAAUACCGGUGGCGAAGGCGGCCCCCUGGACAAAGACUGACGCUCAGGUGCGAAAGCGUGGGGAGCAAACA
rnacentral:rRNA from 1 species